GGAGACGUGGCAGAGUGGCCGAAUGCGGCUCCGUGCUAAGGAGUUAGGGGAGUAAUCCUCUCGGAGGUUCGAAUCCUCCCGUCUCCG
rnacentral:tRNA from 3 species